AGUACCUGGAAGGCGUCUUCGUAAUCUCGCGCCGGUGGACGAUGAUGUGAAGAUGAUGAUUCCAAACACAGCGAAAAACAUCACAACGAUGAAAAAACUCAUGUUGGCCCUUUGUCUGUUGCGGAAGUUGAUGUACUUCUUCUUCCCCCCGCUGCUCGAGCCCAUGAUGUUUUAUCUGAAAAGCGAUGUGUGAUGACGUUUUGUUUAUUUAUAGCAAAUCAAGAUGAUAAUUGUGGCUCGACUACAAUUACAAAAGCGUUUUGUACACCGAAGAGUGAUCGAUUCAGUUGGAAGACUGCCUGUAAAUUGUGUGUUAAAUAAAUUUGGUGUGUUGUAGACGUUUUCA